rnacentral:rRNA from 1 species
GCGUGGAGGAUGAAGGCCUUCGGGUUGUAAACUCCUGUCAGGUGGAACGAAAAACCUCAGCUAACAACUGAGCAUAUGACGGUACCACCAGAGGAAGCCCCGGCUAACUCUGUGCCAGCAGCCGCGGUAAUACAGAGGGGGCAAGCGUUAUUCGGAAUUAUUGGGCGUAAAGGGCGCGUAGGCGGCCAAGCAAGUCAGGGGUGAAAUCCCUCGGCUCAACCGAGGAAUUGCCUCUGAAACUGCAUGGCUUGAGACCGGGAGAGGGUGGUGGAAUUCCCAGUGUAGCGGUGAAAUGCGU